AUUUUGACAAGGAAAGCAAAAUGAAAUAUUACUGCAUGUGCUGAAGAGAGGGCGUAUACAGUAUUUCAUUUAAAAAAAAAUUAAACAUGCAAACAUGUUCCUGAAGUGGUAUGGCAUUGCUGCAAGGGAGCAGAUGGAUUUGUACUUUAAAAAAAAAAAAAAAGGAUUACUGUAACACGAAUGCUCAUGUGGGUACAGGAACUUCAUUAAAAUAUUCCCAAAUGGGGUCUCUCUUAUGGCCUGCUGACAUGACAGAUGUUUCCAUUCAACAAUAAAGACUGUUCCUCACCUUGCUGGAGUGGUUGUGGGAUGAAGGGAAUCUAUUUUCAUCUUUGGUGGACCUGCAGGGUCUUACACUUUGGGUCAGAGCCACAGGGUCUUCCCACAAUUAAAAGCUGCCAAUUAAAAUGGAUACAGUCAUGAGGAAAAUUCAAGAUAUGAAACCUCAAAGGAAAAUCACAGUAGGAAACCGACAUAUAUAAUCAGCUCCUAUUAUUAUCACUUAUAAAAGCGUCAUCUCCUCUGCUCAUUAGAUAGCUAGCUAUUGUACGGCACCGAGGGACUCCGCACCAGAGAUAUAUAGUCUAAAAUCACUAGGUGCUGUGCAAAAAUUAAAAAUUAAACAGCAGAUCCUGCCUGCAGAAGAGAAGUCUCAACACCGGAAGGCUGACGUCUAAGCUUGCCAGAGAUAAUCACUCCAGAAGUUGCCACGGGGCAGACAGACCCUCAUUAAAAGCAACGGCCGCUCUUUUCUUUGUGUUUGGCUACAAAUGAACAAGAACAUCAGAGUGAUUGAGAGCAAUUCUUUUGUGACCUGCUUGAUCUAAUCGGGAGCUGUGCCAACAAGCCACCCCAAAGGCAGCUGUGUUGAGGGGCAUGGGAAAUCUGACUGCAAUCUGAACAGAGGCACCCUUUAGGGAGGGCAGAGAGUAUCCAAAUCGGGCACCUAGGUGCACUGCCCAUGUGGUGAUUUGCCAGGAGGCUGGUCUAUUAAAGGUAGAAACUAGGGCUUGGCUGUUAAUCAUUUGUUAUUGGCUGAAACUUCAUCUUCAACUAGUAGGACUUGUACCCAAAUUUCUAUCGGUCACGCCCCAGCCGUCUUGGUGUUUGAAGAUAGUCAAUAAACUCCUUUUCCUUGGAUUAACUCCAGACUCUUUACUUGAAAUGGACCUUGUGAGAGCAAAAAACAUGGUCCGUCAGCCACUGGAGGAGGAUAUUGAGCUGCAGAAUGAGGUGACUUGUCUGCCUGCAUUCUAUAGAUCAUUAAAGAUCGGGUCGGGUUCUUCUUCUGCACUGUAUUUGACAUCUAUUACUUUUUCUAAAUUGCACUGGGCCGUCUCGAGAGCCCGUUUUAAUGCUUUCCCCUCAGCUUUGCUCACCUGGAAGUUUCAACAUCUACCCAUGGAGGCUUAGCUUUGUCCUUGCGGCUCCGGUGAAAUCGAAACUAUUGCUCAUAUUUUAUUGUACUGCAGUUUCUAUCGGGAUUUUAGGCACUGUCUGGUUUCACCCUUAUUGACUAGAUUCCCUGGACAUUCUGAUGAUUUUCUAGUUAAAUUUUUACUUGCGGAUAAUGACUCUUUUAUUUCUUAUACCGUGGCGAAAUUUUGUUAUAUAGCCAUUAGGGUGCGCAGCUCCUUGACUGAUUCAAAGGGGAGCUCGGACUGUUUAUGAGACUGCUGCGAUGACAAUUUGGUACCACUCUAAUUGCUAUUGUGAUAUUGUUUGUCCGUCUUUUGCUAUUGCAACCUUUGUAAUU